CUAAGAUUGUGCUCUGAUUAAAAUGAGAAAUUUUUAAUAUUAGUGUCAUUAAAUAUUUAUGUUUGUGCUUUUGCGCAAUGCUUGUGUGACUAGUUCUUCAGAUAUUAAAUGGAGAAGUGGUUCAGUAAAGGAAAAUUAUCUAAUAACAGCACUCAAAUUAAGAACAGGUAAAUCCAACAUCAGCAAAAGACCAGCAGUCAAUGAAAAUGAUUAAAAUGGAGGCUUAAGAUGUCAAAGAUGUACAGGAGUAAGAGCAAAAGAAAAUGCCGGUGUUUUCAAGGCACAACAUGGCUGGUGAUCGGCACAGCAUUCGCGCAUAUCAGUCUGAAGCUG